rnacentral:rRNA from 1 species
ACAAGCAGAGGGGGCUUAGUGGUGGGGUGACUGCGUACCUUUUGUAUAAUGGGUCAGCGACUUAUAUUCUGUAGCAAGGUUAACCGUAUAGGGGAGCCGGAGGGAAACCGAGUCUUAAUUGGGCGUUAAGUUGCAGGGUAUAGACCCGAAACCCGGUGAUCUAGCCAUGGGCAGGUUGAAGGUUGGGUAACACUAACUGGAGGACCGAACCGACUAAUGUUGAAAAAUUAGCGGAUGACCUGUGGCUGGGGGUGAAAGGCCAAUCAAACCGGGAGAUAGCUGGUUCUCCCCGAAAGCUAUUUAGGUAGCGCCUCGUGAAUUCAUCUCCGGGGGUAGAGCACUGUUUCGGCUAGGGGGCCAUCCCGGCUUACCAACCCGAUGCAAACUGCGAAUACCGGAGAAUGUUAUCACGGGAGACACACGGCGGGUGCUAACGUCCGUCGUGAAGAGGGAAACAACCCAGACCGCCAGCUAAGGUCCCAAAGUCAUGGUUAAGUGGGAAACGAUGUGGGAAGGCCCAGACAGCCAGGAUGUUGGCUUAGAAGCAGCCAUCAUUUAAAGAAAGCGUAAUAGCUCACUGGUCGAGUCGGCCUGCGCGGAAGAUGUAACGGGGCUAAACCAUGCACCGAAGCUGCGGCAGCGACACUCAGGUGUUGUUGGGUAGGGGAGCGUUCUGUAAGCCUGUGAAGGUGUGUCGUGAGGCAUGCUGGAGGUAUCAGAAGUGCGAAUGCUGACAUAAGUAACGAUAAAGCGGGUGAAAAGCCCGCUCGCC